rnacentral:rRNA from 1 species
UACGUAGGGUGCAAGCGUUGUCCGGAAUUAUUGGGCGUAAAGAGCUCGUAGGCGGUUCGUCGCGUCGGCUGUGAAAUCCCGAGGCUCAACCUCGGGUCUGCAGUCGAUACGGGCGGACUGGAGUUCGGCAGGGGAGACUGGAAUUCCUGGUGUAGCGGUGAAAUGCGCAGAUAUCAGGAGGAACACCGAUGGCGAAGGCAGGUCUCUGGGCCGCUACUGACGCUGAGGAGCGAAAGCGUGGGGAGCGAACAGG